GCAUGGGCUUGGAUUUAUGGCAGGCCCGCUUCCCCAGGUCUCUCACAGUGCCCCAUGCCAAAGCGCCCUGGCCCGGAACCACGGCCCAGCCUCUGCUCAUGGGCUGCAGGCACUGAAGCGGGCUGCACAGUG